AAUAGCCGCCCGGCCGAGCCCGUGUGCGCAGCGGUGACGACUCUUCUGCUCUUGCGUGUUUUCAAUCUCCUCCACGCGGACUGAAGAGAAUCACAGAGGAGGCUUCUAUCCCGGGGCCAGCUCAAGCUCCGCUUCCUUCCUUCAUCCUUCCCCCUCCUCCUCCUCCUCUUCGCUACCGGCCCACUUCGGCGACAGCGCGUGCGCGUACUCGAUGAGCAAAAGGACUAGACGUGCGCGCACCCGCAAGCGGGCGCUACACACCCAGUUCUGAAAACGAACUACGUUAAAGAAAAUAUGAAUUCCAAACUGGGUAGCUUGAAAUAAUAAUGCUGGUUAGUGAAGCUGCCUCAGAGCUCCAUAGUCCUGGAUCUGAAUUCUGGCCCAGGCGAUAGCAGACUAAAGAAGGAAAAGUAACCCAACAAACUUACCUCACACACUUCUGGGUUCACAAGAUGGCCGCCCAACAUCACUUCCUCAUCUGGCUCCCAAUGAUGACAUCACAUCCUGGCUCCUGUUGAUGACGUCACUUCUGACUCCAUCUUGAUUAGUCCCGUUCAGUCUCCUGAAGAUGAUAUCACUUCCGCCAUAUCAUCAGUUCCAGUCUCCUCUUGAUGACGUCACAUUCGUCUCGUAGUUAUGACGUCAUCUCCAGCCACAUCAUUUUCCGCCAGCCAUUUUAUUCCUUUAUAAAAACGCCAUGUCUGUAGUCUUCUGUGUCAAUUGCUGUCUUAAGUACAUUGAUUGCUAUUUUUCAUUCAUUCCUUUACUUUGUCUGUUGGACA